UGGUCCACAGGCUAGGAGGAGAGGGCUGGGUCCUUAGGGUCUCACAGGCGGAAAUGGAGGCAGAUGCUGGAUGGAGUGCUUAUCUGGACGUCCUGGGGAAGAAGAAUCAGCUUUCAAGCUCCUUCAGGCUGUUGACAGAAUUCAGAUCCUGUGGUUGGUGAGGACAGAGGACCCCCUUCCUUACUGGCUGUCAGGUUUCUCGUCUUUUGAUGAGCAAUCUUGAAACUGGAUUCUGUUUCAACAACUGCACAUAUGCUUUAAAGGGGAAGAUGUGCUGACCCUCCUGGUGGCACCUUUCAGGGUGCAGAGGAUUGCUGUGGUGCUUGCUUUGAUGGAUUAUUUGCAAAAAUGGCUGCAAUUAUUCAGCUCCCUCUGCAGUGGUGGAGUCUGUGUCCGCUCCGCUUGACUCUCAGCUGAUCCUGUGGCCUGCUUAGACCAAGAGACUGCAAAAGAAGUGACUGUCUGUGCUGAGCCCUCAUCUCUAGAGACAAUGCACGCUUCCACCUGCCCCUUUCAAACUCUGCUGAGCCGCCUUGCGAACAGCCCAGGCUCCUCAUCCAGCCCAAUCCAGAGGCAGAGCAGAUAGCAAUUGUUUGAGGGAAGGUAUCUGAGGUCAGCAGAACUGGAGAUUCACCAGAAGGAAUUCAUGGCUGUUAUUUUAAGACACUAAGUUUUGGGUUGCUUUGCUAAUAUGAUCAUAGUUCCAUUUCUCUUUGGAGGCAGGUCAAAUGGUUAAGUCCCACCUUGUUCUUAGAAGCAACAUUAAACAGUAGUCUGGAGCAAAGGUUUCUCACAGAAACUUCACAAGCAUGACAGACUCCAUAUGUUUCAA